rnacentral:lncRNA from 1 species
CUGACGCCAGAGCCCAAUGACCGCUGGCGUCAUCCCCGAAGUCCUGCACCACCGCCCUCGUCGCUCAAUCGCCGCCCCGAAAGAGCACUCCAUUGCUUCUCCCCGGCCUUCGCGCCGCUCCCCUUCUCUCUCUCGCGCCGCUCCCCUUCUCUCUCCCGCGCCGCUUCCCUUCCCCCGUCCUAGCAGCUAUAAAAGGGAAUGCGCGAGCCCGCCGGAGUCCCCUCCGCCAUUGUUGCCUUCCGCCAUUUCUCCAGCUCCCUGCUCAAGCUCUAGCACCACACCCUAAGUUCUUGAGAAACUCUCC